rnacentral:lncRNA from 1 species
AACCUGCUUGGGAACCCUGUUACACUGUGGAAGCUUUGUUCUUUUGCUCUUUGCAGUAAAUCUUGCUGCUGCUCACUCUUUGGGUCCACACUGCUUUUAUGAGCUGUGACACUCACCGUGAAGGUCUGUAGCUUCACUCUUGAAGCCAGCGAGACCACGAACCCACUGGGAGGAGAGAACAACUCCAGACGUGCCACCUUAAGAGCUGUAACACUCACUGCGAAGGUCUGCAGCUUCACUCCUGAGCCAGCAAGACCACGAACCCACCAGAAGAGCGAACACAUCCGAACAUCAGAAGGAACAAACUCCGGACACGCCACCUUUAAGAACUGUAACACUCACCACGAGGGUCUGCGGCUUCAUUCUUGAAGUCAGUGAGACCAAGAACCCACCAAUUCCAGACACAUCCUUAUUGCCUUCAUGUCUUGAUGCCCCGAGAGCAUAACAGCUCGGGGCAUGCCACGGGUGCGUGGGGAGAUAACACUCCCUUGAAGUACUGGAGUAUAAUCAAACAACUUGGCUCCUGCUGAAACCCGCUCCCACCUGUUUCGGUCCUGAAGGGGACAUUUGGAUACAGACACAGGCAUGAACAGAGGAGAGACCAUGUGAAGAGUCACAGGGAGAAUGCCAUGUGAAGACAGAGGAAUGGAAUUAUCCAUCCACAUGCAAUAAAAUGCCAAAGAUUGCCAGGAAGUCACCAGAAGCUUGGAACAGUCUGAUGGAGUCUUCCUGUGUCGCCCAGGCUGGAGUGCAGUGGUGCAAUCUCGGCUCACUGCAACCUCCGCCUCCCAGAUUCAAGUGAUUCUUCUGUCUCAGCCUCUGGAAUAGCAGGGAUUACAGGACUCUCGCUGUGUACUCCAGGCUGGAGUACAGUGGCACAAUCUAUGCUUAUGGCAACCUCUACCUCCAGGGUUCAAGCGAUUCUCCCGCCUCAGCUUCCCAAGUAGCUGGAAUUACAGGUACGCACCUCUGUGCCUGGCUAAUUUUUGUAUUUUUAGUAGAGACCAGAUUUCAACAUGUUGGCCAGACUGGUCUCAAACUCCUGACUUCAAGUGGUCCACCUGCCUUGGCCUCUCAAAGUGCUGGGAUUACAGGUGUGAGCCACCACACUUGGCCUCUCCCUAAUUUCUAAAAGAGAGCUUUAUUCAGGACAGUAUUCUUGUUUGCCACUUUAAAUGUAUCAUGUCAUUCCAUCUGGUCUGUAAAGUUUCUGGUGAGAAGUCUGCUGCUAAGCACAUUGGAACUCUUUCAUGUGUUAUUUGCUUCUUUUUCUGUGGCUUCUUUCCAGGUUUUUUUUAUCUUUGACUUUUGACAAUUUAAUUACACUAUGUCUUGAUGUAGUCUUAUUUGGAUUGAAUCUGACCAGAGACAUUCCUAUAUCUGGAUUCUUUAUAUCUUUCUCCAGGUUUGGAAAGUUUUCACCUAUUAUUUCUUUAAACAAGCUUUCUAUCUGUUUAUUUUUCUCUUCUCUUUCUUAAACUCCUAUGACUCAAAUCUUUACUUAUUUAAUACUGUACUAUAAAUCCUAUAAGCUUUCUUCUUUCUCUUUUGCUUCUGACUGCAUAUUUUUAAAGAACCUGUAUUAUAAUUUUUUCUUCUGCUUAAUCAUUUCUGCUGUUGAUGCUUUCUAUAUUGCAUUUUCAUGUUUUUCAUUGUAUUAUUUAGCUCCAAAUUUUUGUUUCAUAUUUUUAAAAUGUCAAUCUUUCUGUUAAGUUUCUUUUCCUGUUCACUUAUAAUUUUUCUUAUUUCACUGAAUUGUUUUUCAGUAAUUUUUGGAAGUUUGCUAAGAUUAUUUGAAACAGUUACUUUAAAUUAUUUGUCAAAUGCUUCUUAUCUUCCUUUCUUUAAGAUAAGUCACUGUUAUUUUAUUUUUUUCAUUUGGUGGUACCGUGAUUUUGAUUAUUCUUGAUCCUUGUGGCCAUACAUCAAUGUCUGCACAUGUGGAGAAGUGGAUACUUAUUCUAGUCCUUACAGACUGACUUUUUUCUAGGUAUGCCCUUCAACAGUAAGCCUGUCCAGAGUUUCUGAAUAGACUAUCUGGUGUGGUCCCUUAACCCAGGGCCACAUUGAUCAUUGCAGCACUGAGGGGUUCCCUUAGACAAAGACUUCUGAGGCUGAUGCUGUACUGGGCUGCAAUCCCAUGGAUGUUCAGGCUAGUUUGGAGCUGGGGCAUGCCUGGAGUCUUUUUGAGGUCUGUCUGCCACUGGGGUUGCCUAAGGCUGCUGUAGUUAGCUGGCAGUGAUGCCGACUGGAGAUUGAGUCUACUCCACCGGUGUUAUGUAUUUCCACCUGGGUCCAGGACAUAUCUGUAAGCCCAUGGUUACCAGCGUGGAGUCAGGAGCUAUAUCUGCUUUGCUGAGUUUUACCGGUGUAGGCCCAGUACCUGUUUCCAAGGAAAAAUCCUAUGCUCACUUCCCUCUCUUUUCCCAUUUGGGAAGUAUCACUAUCCUUGCUGUGCUACCCAAGGUUGAAGGAAGGAGAGACAGGUAAUGUAAAACUACUUUUUCUACCCUUUUCUUAUGAUUGUGUUAUAAACAGAUACUGUGACCACUCGUCUGGUCUCCUUAGCUCUUAUGAAGGUAUUUUUACUUAUGGAUAGUUGUUCAGAUUGAUGUUUCUGUGUGGAGAAUGAUCACUGGUGAGUCCUGUUCCACCAUCUGGCUCCUUGGGCAAUUUUUAACCUACAUUUUCAUCAUCUGCCUACUAAUCUGUCUUUCCGACUUGACUGCAAAAACUUAAGGCAGAGGCUCUAAAUUAUUAGUUAUGCAAUCAUAAAUUGACAUAGUAGGUACUUAAAAUGUGGUAAGUAAAGAGUAACUUAAAUAGAUUUUCUUUUAAGAACUUAACAAUGUAAUUAUUAAUGUUAUAGAUCAAACAUAUAUGAUAUUCUGUUACUCAACCUGACAAAAAUGAAAAAGUAAUAUUCUUUAUUGUGUAAUUUCUUAUUUUUGUUUAAAUAUUACAAUGUAUCACUUUAUUAUAAUUUUUAAUAUCAUAGUCUACUUAUUUAUGAAGUUUAGAAAAUAACUUGUAGGACUUGUGACAUAUUAAGCUGCGACAUUCACAAGGACAGUAAAAUCAAAUCAGUAUAAUUUGUUUAGGCAUUAUUUUAUGAAUAAAUAUAUAGAAAAACUCCAGAGCAAAGAACUCUUUAUUGCUAGCCGAAGGCCUUAAGGGGCACAUAAAAAUAUGGUUGCAUUGGCUUGUACUGACUUUAAUGUGACCUACGGUUUUUCUAUAACUGCUCUAUAUAAAUGUGCUUAUCAUACCUAAGUUGUUUUGUCCUGUAUUAUAGGUAGCAUUUCAAAAAGAUAGGAAUUUUUAAAUUAUAUAUUUAUAGUGAGGUGUCCGCAAUUUUGUUUUAAACAAGGACACAUUUAUAAUAUAAUAAGAUUUAUUUAACACACAUUUUUCUACUCUUUUUUAGCAUCAAGCUUUCCAUUCCUUCCAGUUCUUCCUCUUCUUUUAGUGGAUUAGGGAGGAAAUAAUGGAAUAUUAGCAAUAGGAAGCUUUGAAGGACUAUAAAGAAGGGUUACACUGAAACAGAGAAAAGAACAAGCUGAUGGUCACAUCAAAGGUCAUUUACCAAUGUGUUUACAAAUAUUAUAGGGACUUAUUUUAUUCUAUCAUAUGUUGAUCUCUAACUCUUUGGAAUAACAAUAUAAUCUUUCAAGCAAGAUCACAGUUUAUUUUGGGGUAUGGUACAAAUUUUCUCAGUCUUCUUCUAUUUAACUCACAGUGUUUAGAGGUUUUCUCAAAAUCUGAUCCACUGAAUACUCGCAUCAGAAUUCCCAGGGUAUGAACGUAAACUUUUGAGUCCUCAUAACAAUUAAGUCAUAAUUUCUGGGUUUGAAUUUCAGAGUGCAUAUUUUCAGCAAGUUUCUUAAUAACUUUUAUGUAAAAUGAGACCCACUGAUCUUGGCUUGAGCUUAAUAAACACCUGUUUAUUUGGCCAUUAUAUUGCCAUGAAGUAUGAUUCAUGAAAUUUGAUGUAUUAAAAUAUCUAUGUAUACACACACAUACACACAGUGAAAACAGUAUUUAAAAAUUAUUAACUAAUUAUUUAAUAAUAUUAGUGUAAUGUGGUCCAAUUACUGCAAAACAUUGUUAUUAAAAUUGUUUUUUCAUAGUUCUGCUUCUUUUUAUUAAUAUGUGUAUCAAGAGAUAGGUGAAACCAAGAACCAAACAAAUACUGCAGAGACUUCUUUCUACUUCUGGCAAAAAUGAACUAGCACGCAUGAGAAUUACUCUACUGCUUGAAAUAAACAAAAAGUAGUAAAAUAUAUGAAACACUUGUGUUUCAGAUGGUGAUAGUCAACCAAAGAAUGUUGAGCUUGAGAAGAAAUACUUAUGAGAUGGAAUUAUCUAGAAUAGUGCCCAGUGUUUACAGAGGGCUAGCAGUAGUGCCUGUUCUGACCACCUAUACUAGAAAAACACAACACAAGAGUAUUUAUAGACAUCACCAGCUGUGCUAUCCAAAUGGCCUCAGAGGUCACACAGCAUUUCUUCCACUGUAUUCUGUGGGUUGAAGCAAUUGUAAACUUGAAUUAUAAUCAAGGGAAUUGGAGACACCUGAAUGGGUGGAGUGUCAAGGAAUUUUAGUGCCAUGUUUUUCAACUGCUGCAGUUACAUCACGAACUCAUUUUGGUGUUACUGCAUGAAUAUUGGUAAUUUACUUUAAAUAUUAUAGAAACUACUUGAUGAUUUCAUGAAAUUGUCAGUAUUGCAGAUAAAUCACAUGAUAAAUGCCCCAUAGCAAGAAAUGUCUAAGAAUGAAAAAGACAAUACAUAUGCUUUGAUCAUUCUGAAAACAUUUUUCUGCACGUUCCAAUUUUAAAGAUUUUACGUUCUUAUCCUAUACAGAGAGUUAAACUGUAUUGAAAAUUAAAAUAUGUUCAUUUUGGUUUGAGUGAAUUCAUUUGCAAAUUAAUGUAGUGUAGUUUUAAAUUUUCAUGAUUUUUAAAUAAAAGGCCAUAAAAAUAACAUUUUUAAGAAAUGUUAGUUUAUCAUAACAAUUAAUAGCUAGAAUUAUUAUCUUUUAGAUUAAUGGAUAGGUUACAUGGAUAAAUGGGCAUGUGUUUGAUUUUUAAAAAUCUUUAAAUGGUUUAACAAAUUAAUAGAGUAGCAGAAAUGCUGUGAAAUGACAGUGUGUUCCUCAUUUAUUUUCACUGAAAAUAAACAACUUUCCAUUAAAAAUCCUAAAUGUUUUUUAUUAUAAAAAACACGGUAAUACACAGCCUUAAGGUAAUAUAGUCUUAACAAUAUAGAAUAUAGUUUCAAGUAUUCAUCAAAAACAUUAUACUGUUCACUUAAAUAAUUAAAAUAAGACUUAUUUCAAGUUAUUUAUGUUCAUCUUUAAUUUCAUUUUUAUCUUCCUAAUAUGGCAAUUUGAACUCUAUCAGUGACUAUUGUUCUGUGAACACAAAGCUAGUCAGUAUUUUUAUGAACUUGAUUGAUUCAUUCUAUCCCACACAGUGAGUCUAAAGUGUGUCAAGAUGGAAAAAGACAGAAAAAAUACACAGAACUUUAAAGGGUACAGUGCUGAGGACUAAUGGUAUAUUCAUAUAAGCAGGUUAUAUUUUUACCUAAUUCUUUCUAGAAGGGCUGACAAUCAAAACCAGAGAAUCAUUGUGCUCUUUGAAAGUAAAGUAUUCAGAUUGUGCUUGUGAAUAGACUGUGUCAUAUUUCAUUUGCUCUAAACACCAGAGGUAUAGGAUGUGUCAUUAUUUUAUGUACACUACAAACUGAAACCUGUUGCCAAUUAAACAAUGUGAGAUUGCUUUGUUACUAUUUUUUUAAAUUUGAUACACAUUGAAUGUAAUUUUUUUAGUUAUUUAGAAUUUUUUGCAAAAAGAAAAAAAUUGAAGUAAAUUUUUUGAAAAUGCAUGCACAAACUUGUCUUCUAGAUAGUUUAAUAUUUUGUUAUGUUUUAAUUUAUACAUAAGAAUUGUAUGUACAUAUGAGGUAUACUGUGAUGUUUCAGUGUAUAUAUAUAUAUAUAUACACACACACACACACAUAUAUGUACACAUUGUGUAAUGAUUAACUUAAAGUGAUUAGUAUAUUAACCACCUCAAAUACGUUUUUUUGGUAAGAACAUUCAAACUGCUUUCUUCUACCUAUUUUGAAUUAUACAAUACAUAUCGUUGACUUAGGUACCUUACUGUGUAACGGAACACCAGAACUUUUGCUUCUAUCUAAUUGUACUUUGUACCUGUUAAUUGGCCUCUUUCCAUCCCCCUUCCCCUACAUUCCCCACCUAUGAUAACCACUAUUCUACUCUGUAAGCCUAUGACUUCAGUCAUUUAAGAUUUCACGUAUGAAUGAGAUCAUGUGCUAUUUGUAUUUCUGUCCCUAGCUUAUUUCCCUUAAUAUAAUGUCCUCUAGGUUCAUCCAUUUCAUUGCAAAUGACAGGAUUUUGCUCUGUUUAUGGCUGAAUAAUCUUCCAUCUUGUAUGCAUACCACAUUUUAAAAAUCCAUCGAUUGAUUUUAUUUUUUUAAAUACAGGCUCUUGCCCUAUCCCCCAGGCUGGAGUGCAGUGGUGCUAUCACGGCUCACUGCAACCUGGACCACAGUAGCUGGGACCACUGGAAUACACCAUUAUGCCCAGCUAAUUUGUUUUAUUUUAUUUUUUGUAGAGACAGGAUCUCACUGUGUUGUCUGGUCUAGUUUCAAACUGCUGGGCUCAAGCACUCCUCCCUCCUCAGCCUCUGAAAAUACUGGGAUUGCAGGCAUGAGACACCAUGCUUAACCAUUCAUUUGUUGAUGGACAUUUAGGUUGAUUCCAUAUCUUGGCUACUGUGAAUAGUGCUAUAAUAAACAUGGGAAUGCAGAAAUCUCUUUGACACACUAAUUUCAUUUCCCUUGAAUAUAUACCCAGUAGUGGGAUUGUUAGAUGAUAUGGUAGUUAUUUCUAUAGAUUCUGCACAGCAGAGGAAAUAAUCAACAUAGUGAAAAGACAACCUACAGAAUGAGAGAAAAUAUUUUCAGACAAUGCAGCUGACAAAGUAUUAAUAUAUAGGAUAUAUAAGGAACUCAAACAACUCAAUAGCAAAAAUAAAAGUACUUUAUUUUUAAAAUGGGCUAAUGACCUGAAUAGACAUUUCUUAGAAGACAUAUCAACAGCCAACAGGUAUAUGAAAAAGUGGUCAACAUCACUAAUCAUCAGGGAAAUGCAAACUGAAACACACUGAGAUAUAACUUUAUCCUGGUUAGAAUACCUAUUAUGAAAAAUACAAAAAAAUAACAAACACUAGCAAGAAUGAAGACAAAUACUAGCAAGAAUGAAACUCAUACACUUUUUGUGGGAGCUAUAAAUUAGUACAGCUAUAAAUGUCACCAGUAUGGUUGUUUCUUAAAAAUUUUAAAAACUUGAAUAAUUUAUGACUUAAAGCUAAUUCUGAUGCUUUCCACAGGUUAUCAUCUUCAGUGACUUCAUCACCUUUCUUAAAAGGGUGGUAUUUCUCUAAUGUCUUUAGGAUUUUCUUUAAAGCAGCAAGGAAGUAAUUAGAUCACUGGGGUGUAUUUUAGCUUCAGAGUGUCAAUCAAACUCACAGUAGCCUCACCCAAGAACAAUUUCAAGACAUGUUACAGACUCCAGAGCAGAGCAGUAUACACAGCAACAGUAUCAUGGAGCUGUCAUACAAUAAAUAUGGGUCCUAAUGUCAUUGUCGCCAGUUGGGAUAUGCGCAGUUUUGAGACAAGAGCUGAUGAAAGUGAGCAUCACAUUAACACAGGAAAACUGAAGGGUCUAGAGACUUCUGGCUUAAACAAUUUUUUAGUCAAGUUGCACCUGAAGAGGUAUGAGUCUAACUUCUGUUUUAGUUCUGCUGAAGUUCAUAAAUUAUACAUUAUGUAAAAACAAAUCUUAUUUAAAAAAUUUAAAAUUUGUAAAUGUUCUCAAAUCAAUAGUCAAUACUUAGUAACCUCAGUAGGAUGCUCAUUUGUCUUCAACUGGAUACACAAUAUCAAUUAAUAUUUCAAGAAUUUUAAUUAAGGAUAAAUAAUUCCUUAGUUGUUCUUAACACUGGAGUGCAGUGAAGUUGUUAAACCAUUCCUCUGGUAUCUUUGGCAUCCUUUGACAUUGUUUCUGCAGUUAGAUUAGAUCUGAAAUUUAUGUCUUCUUUUGUAUUACUGUUAUGUAUUUAGUUUAUUUUUAUUUAGGUUUACCCACGUGUAUUUCCGAUAGUUUUUUAUGUAAAUAUCUUUUUUUUUCACAGUAUAUUAACAUUUAAUCCUUGAAAAAAAAGGUCAUAUUCUCAAUGAAAAUUAGUGAAAUAAGGAAUCACAAGUGUGAAGUUGCAUAUUAUAUAAUUUUUGUUCCAAAGGAAAACAUAUUAAGUAACUGCACUUUAUUUUUUUAUUUUUAUUUUAUUUUUUUUACUUUUAUUAUUAUUAUACUUUAAGUUUUAGGGUACAUGUGCACAAUGUGCAGGUUAGUUACAUAUGUAUACAUGUGCCAUGCUGGUGUGCUGCACCCAUUAACUCGUCAUUUAGCAUUAGGUAUAUCUCCUAAAGCUAUCCAUCCCCGCUACCCCCACCCCACAACAGUCCCCAGAGUGUGAUGUUCCCCUUCCUGUGUCCAUGUGUUCUCAUUGUUCAAUUCCACCUAUGAGUGAGAAUAUGCUGUGUUUGGUUUUUUGUUCUUGUGAUAGGUUACUGAGAAUGAUGAUUUCCAAUUUCAUCCAUGUCCCUACAAAGGACAUGAACUCAUCAUUUUUUAUGGCUGCAUAGUAUUCCAUGGUGUAUAUGUGCCACAUUUUCUUAAUCCAGUCUAUCAUUGUUGGACAUUUGGGUUGGUUCCAAGUCUUUGCUAUUGUGAAUAGUGCCCCAAUAAACAUACGUGUGCAUGUGUCUUUAUAGCAGCAUGAUUUUAUAGUCCUUUGGGUAUAUACCCAGUAAUGGGAUGGCUGGGUCAAAUGGUGUUUCUAGUUCUAGAUCCCUGAGGAAUCGCCACACUGACUUCCACAAUGGUUGAACUAGUUUACAGACCCACCAACAGUGUAAAAGUGUUCCUAUUUCUCCCCAACCUCUCCAGUACCUGUUGUUUCCUGACUUUUUAAUGAUUGCCAUUCUAACUGGUGUGAGAUGGUAUCUCAUUGUGGUUUUGAUUUGCGUUUCUCUGAUGGCCAGUGAUGGUGAGCAUUUUUUCAUGUGUUUUUUUGGCUGCAUAAAUGUUUUCUUUUGAGAAGUGUCUGUUCAUGUCCUUCGCCCACUUUUUGAUGGGGUUGUUUGUUUUUUUCUUGUAAAUUAGUUUGAGUUCAUUGUAGAUUCUGGAUAUUAGCCCUUUGUCAGAUGAGUAGGUUGUAAAAAUUUUCUCCCAUUCUGUAGGUUGCCUGUUCACUCUGAUGGUAGUUUCUUUUGCUGUGCAGAAGCUCUUUAGUUGAAUUAGAUCCCAUUUGUCAAUUUUGGCUUUUGUUGCCAUUGCUUUGGUGUUUUAGACAUAAAGUCCUUGCCCAUGCCUGUGUCCUGAAUGGUAAUGCCUAGGUUUUCUUCUAGAGUUUUUAUGGUUUUAGGUCUAACGUUUAAGUCUUUAAACCAUCUUGAAUUAAUUUUUGUAUAAGGUGUAAGGAAGGGAUCCAGUUUCAGCUUUCUACAUAUGGCUAGCCAGUUUUCCCAGCACCAUUUAUUCAAUAGGGAAUCCUUUAUCUUAAGAUAUUAAUUAUCUUUAUUGUUUCUGCACACUCUUGCUCCGAGUAAUCUGUAAACAAAUUUGAUAAUAUUCCAUCAACUAUUUUUAGGAAUUUUAAUUAGAGUGGAAUGAUGAAAGUAUAAAUCAGAGCACCAUGUUACUAAAACUAGAAAUGAUUCAUUUCUUUUUAACCCAAUAUCAAAUCCUCAUUAAAUGUAAUUUUUUAUCUAUCCUUCACAGUUAUCUAGUAAAUUACUCACGUAAAAUUACCAAUCUUUUAGGCAGCUGUGACUUAAUGGGUUUACCUCUGGCCCCAUUCCUUAUAAAUGAAACUCUGUCCUCUCGGGUUAAAAAGAUAGACCAACCCUGAUUGGCUCUCUUUUGCUUCCAAUUCUGGUGCAGAACUCAGAGAGUCCAAGAAUUCUACACCCUAACAUAGCCUUCCAGGUUGUUAUAAAUUAUGGUUUUCAAGGUAGAAAAACAAAACCAUUUAAUGCUUUGUUUUAUUGAUCUAUUUUAAGUGUUACACAAGGUAUGUUGGCCUUUAUUUGUACACUUUGUGUCCAGCCCUGAAUAGGUUAAGGGAUGUUCUUAUUUCAGGAUACAAUAAAAGCAAAUGCCUAAAUACAACCAUGAAGUUUUUAGGCUAGUUUUAUGCAAAUAAAAUGGAUGUUUCUAUAUUUUUGAAUUAUUUGAAUAAUACUUUUCCCAGAUUUCUCUUCAUUUUAAUCCCAUAACAACUGCCACCUUCUUUAGUUGUGAAAAAACGUGUAAUAAAAUUGGAUAAAUUGUAUGUGAAAAAUAUUUUGAACAUUUUCCCUUCAACCCACUGCAUUGUCUUGGCAGUAAAACGUAACAUGCUGAUGUUUAAAAAUGCAAUUAGCACUAUUUAUUUAUUUAUUAAACUUGUCACAAUUUUCACUCAGAAAACAAAUGAAAAUUUUGAGCUACUUUCAUCCAAUUUUCUUCCAGGGAUGGACAUAUCAAUUAGUGAUAUAUAUAAUGCCUCUGAUUAUCGGGGAAAUGAUGCAGUCUUAAAUUCACAUGCCUUAUGUCUUUUAAGCAAUAAUUUUUAAACGAGACAACUGUAAUUUUGUUUAGUACACUUAAGUUUGGGAUAGGCAUGAAAAUAAAUUAUUCACUGCCUUUCUGCAGUACACUAAUUAUUUCUUGCACUUAACAUUUAUCUAAAAAACUGAUAAUGUAUUCCGCGGUUUUAACAAUAUACAAGUUGGGCAUCCUUAAUAUGAAAACCCCAAAUCCAAAAUUAAACAUUUUUGACUACCAACAUAAUGCCACAAACGGAAAGUUCUUCAUCUGAUCGCAUGUUCCAGGUUACAGUCAAAACACAGUAAACAACACACACUUUAUUUAGCAUCCACAAAGGAAAAAAGUCCCUCCCAGCCUCCUUUAGCUAUACUGUAUUUUCCUUACAUGCCCAGAUUCGCCGACGUAAACCCGCUCAAAAAGGAUAAUAAAAUAACACAUGUGCAGAUCAGGUAAGCCAACAGCAGGUUCCUCAGGUUCCUUCUUCAAGCUGCCCCACUUGAAGCCAAAACUUAAGUGCAUUACUCACUGUAUUUUUUUUUUUAAUUCUCUGCUCCGGUGUAAAUAUAUUAUUGAAAAUAUUGGCUGGGUGCGGUAACUCAGGCCUGUAAUCUCAGCAGUUUGGGAAGCUGAGAUACGUGGAUCACUUCACGUCAGGAGUUCCAGACCAGCUUAGCCAACAUGGUGAAACCACGUCUCUACUAAAAAUACAAAAUUUAGCCAGGCGUGGUGGUGUGUGCCUGUUGUCCCAGCUACUUGGCAGGCUGAGGCACGAGAAUCGCUUGAACCAGGAGGAAGAGGAUGCAGUGAGCCAAGAUUGCACCACUGCACUCCAGCCUAGGCGACAGAGCAAGACUCUGUUUCAAAAAAAAAAAAAAAAAAAAAGAAAGAAAGAAAGGAAAAAAAAUAUCAAAAAGGCCUGCAGAGAUUUCUAUGAGCAACAGUGAUGAGAAAAAUAGGAAGCAUUUGUUUUUCUAUGUUGCAGAAAGUAAGCUAUUGGAGAAACUGGACAGCAGUGUAAGUGUGAAACAUCUUACAGAGGAGUAUGGUGUACAAUGUUGAAAAGACCUCUAUAUAUAUUGUCUGAAGAAGCAGAAUAAUAAACUUUUGAAAUUCUAUGCUAACAGUUUAUUAGAAGUUACUGAAAAAUACAAAACCAUUGUGUAAAGCUAAGAUUCAAGAUUGUGAUUGUUUAUUGAAACAGUGGGUACAUCAGCAUCACAGUGAAGACGUACUAUUUAAAGGUUUGGUGGAAUCAAGAAGCAAGUGAAAAUUCAUCAUGAAAAUUGAAGGGAACUGAUUAUUCAACAAUGUAGCCACAGGAAUAUUAGACUAUACAUGGGAUUAAGUUUUUUAAAUAUUUGUGGAAUAAAGCAUCUGCUAACUACAAAGCAGCAAAUCCAUUGACAAGUUUGCCAAGCUAAUUGCUGAUAGAACAAAUCUAUAAGGGUGAGGAAACAUUACUGUUUUGGUGUUAUUGCCCCAGAAAGAUAUGGAUUAUAAUGGAUAAGACAGCUCCUACAGGAAUUAAAGAUGGCAAGGACAGGCCAGCCGCAGUGGCUAUGCCUGUAAUCUCAGCACUUUGGGAGGCCAAGGCGGGCAGAUCACAAGGUCAGGAGAUCGAGACCAUCCUGGCUAACACGGUGAAACCCCGUCUUUACUAAAAAUACAAAAAAUUAGCCAGGCAUGGUGGUGGGUGCCUGUAGUCCCAGCUACUCGGGAGGCUGAGGCAGGAGAAUGGUGUGAACCCAGGAGGCAGAGCUUGCAGUGAGCCCAGAUCACGCCACUGCACUCCAGCCUGGGCGACAGAGCGAGACUCUGUCUCAAAAAAAAGAUGCCAAGGACAGAAUAACUGUGCUGCAGUAUGCUAAUGCAGCAGGCAUGCAUAAGUGUAAACUUGCUGUGACAGGAAAAGCUUUUGUCAUCAUUGUUAUCAAGACAUGAAUUUACCAGUCUAUUAUGCUAACCAAAUAUUAUGCUAGCCAUGGAUCAGUAGGAACAUCUUUUCUGAUUGGUUUCAUAUUUUGUACCAGCAGUUUAUACUCACUGAAGGGAAUCUGAACUACAAGAGCACUGCAAGAUUUGGUUAUUCCUUGACAACUGAUCUGCUCCUCCUCCCGUUGAAAUUCUCAUCAAAAUAAUCUUUAUGUUAUGUACUUUCUCCCAAAUGUGACAUCAUUAAUUCAGUCAUGUGAUGAGAUUAUCCGAAAAUCAAUAAAGAGUAAAUAUGAAAGCAUGCUUUCCUAAACAGCAUGCUAGCAGCAGUGAACAGAAUACAGAAUAGUGGAAAUGGGAGGUUUUCAAAGGGAGUUUAACGUGAAGGAAACUCUAUUGGUGUUGCCAAUCCUUGGAAUACAGUGACUAAAGGCACAAGUUGUGCAUGCCUGGCACAAUCUCUGGCCUGCAAAUAUGUUCAGUGUUGAUGAUGAACAAGAUGGUGACUUUGAAGAAUUCUGUAUGUCAAUUGUGUACACAAUUAUAUCUGACCUCCUUACAUAUGCAGACAUAAUAUACCUUCAGAGUCUGUCAGUACGCUGACAAGUAAGAAGUAAAUGCUGAAGAUGUUUUUAACAUCAAUAAUAAGGCUCCAGUUGUUAAUUCUUUGAAUGAUGGUGAAUUAGCUAAAACUAUAAUGAAUUGAGACGAUGAUAAUAAUGAUGAUGAAGUUGAUGUUAUUAACACUGCACAAAAAAAGAAACUAUAGAUAAUGUGGUGAAAAGGUGUGAUGGGCUUAUUAAAGGAGAAAAAAAAUGUAGUUAAUGAGCAAAUGACCCUCGGGGAGACAUUUAAAAAGCCAUCCACCAGAAGCCCUCCUCAUUUUUUGGAAGACCCACUUCCUGGUCCCUCAACUGGUUUGAUGUUUCUACUGACUCCCCCAAAAUAAAAUAAGUUGUACAAAAACCUUCUAAUCAAAAUACAGCAUCGUGGUGGAGACCGGAAACCUGCCAUUGUUUGAUGUUGCUGCUGUCUAACAACUGAUGUAAGUAUUCUGUUGAUGUUACUAUGCUGUUUUGUUACUCAGAACACAUUAUUUUUCACUGGAAUAAUGGUAUGUCACAUUUUUAUGCUAUGUACUUAUGUGUGAAUAAGCCAAAGAAAAUGAUUGCUUAUCAGUACUGUGUAAAUUUAGAGACAGGAAUGAUGGUGAUGCCAAACAAACAGAUUGUCCACAUGGGUGGCUGAGAUAGUGAUAGUGACUGUGUUUUCUGAUGGUUCAAUGUAUACAAACUGCAUUUUGUGCACAAAUUCAUUAAAAAUAUUGUAUAAAAUUAUCUGUAAGCUAUGUAUAGUAGGUGUAUAUAAAACAUAAAUGGAUUUUUUGCUUACACUUAAGUCCCAUCCCCAAGAUAUCUCAUUGUUGUUAUGCAAAUAUUCCAAAAUAUGAAAAAAUCUGAAAUCUAAAACAUAUCUGGUCCCAAGAAUUUUUACAUAAGGAUUACUCAAUCUGUAUCAUUCACCAUGUUACAUAUUUCUAGUUAAGUGUCUCUUUAUUCAAAACUGAGUUUCAAACAUAAGAUAUAACACAUUUAUUAUUGCAUAUGAUUUGAAACUGUUUACUGUCAGUUUUCAAGCUUAAAGCUUUAUGUCAAAAUUUUGAUUAUCAUUGUAAAUGAGUUAUAUAGCCUAUCCAUUAUCCCUAUAUUAUUGAAAUUUUAGUUGACUUGAUCAGCAUUAAAAAGAAGUAAUUUUUAAUAAAUUAGAAGUUCUCAAAUUGGAGUUAUCACUUACUCAAGAUUUGCUUAAUACUUUUCUUAACCAUAGGAGAUAAAAAUAGUCAAUGUAUAUAAUAAAAAUUAAACUGUAAGGAAAUCAUGUAUAAUAAAUAUUCUAAAAUGAUUGCACUAAGUGUAGAUGUAGAGUGUCCUUAUAUUUUUUUUUCAAGAAAAAAAUAAUCUUCUAUGUUACGUAUCUGUUUCACAAUUUUGUGGGCCCCUGCCGAAUGUCGUUUCAUAAUUUCUUAUAUGCUAAAAUAAACACAUUUGACAAUUUUUAAAAGAAAAAUCAUGCUUUAAAAUACAUAUUCAAUGUAAAGCAAUGCAAGGUAGGAGAUUGUAUUUAGAACUUCUGGUUUAAGAAUGUCUAUAUUCCUCAAAAUUAAAAUUAUGAUACUUUCUGUUGAAAAUUUGUCAAUGUGAAAAUGAUAAAUGAUGUCACAUUUUUUAUUGUGUUUUCUCCUAAGGUUUUAAUUAGGGUACAAUGCACAACACUGAAGAUUUCCAAAUAUUUUAUUAAAAUGAUCAAAUUGUAUUUGCCUAGGGAAAAUUCAAGGCACUAACCUGUAUUUGUUGAUUGAAAUUAUUUUUGUUAUCAUUCUGAAAACUUUAAGCAACUAUAUUUUUCCCAAGCACGUGGGGAUAUUUGUUCAAUUUGGGAAAAAAUAUAUCAAUUGCAAAUACACUCAUAUUAACUUUACAACUUUACCAUAUUUUGUAGAUUUCAAUGAUAAUAUAUUCAAUAUGUUUUAUAUCUUCCAUAUAUCUAAAACAGUGAGCCAGGUUUUUAAACUAUUGACAUACCAGAGGUAAUUUUUCCCCUGAAUUUUUAACUUUGAAGUAAAAUAGAUAAUUUUCUCCUUUCUAACCCACAUGUCUGCUACUCUACCAACAUGGAGAAUUUAAUUCUCCUUCAUUUUAAUUGGCAAUGGAGCAAGUACAAUCAAUAUUUGACGAAAAACAUUUAAUUUUCUUUUUCAUCAUGACUUUUCCAGUGUGAGAAACAUAAUGUUGCUCUGAACUUGAGAGUUCUUAUAAUAGAACUUUCACAUAAAAAUAACUUCAUUUUUCUUUUGUAUAACACAUUAUCACAAUGUAUAAAAGGAUUAUUUCUCUUUUAACAAUCUUACAGGCUACUUACUCUGUUUCUUUUCACAGAUGUGAAAAAUGAGGUUUACAUAGGAUAGCGAUUCAUGGACUAUGAUUCCAAUUAUAGAUAUUGUCCUGCAGACGAUAAAAUACCUAGGCUACUACUACUAAAUACCUAGGCUGUAUAUUAUAGCCUAUUGCUUCCAGGCCAGAUACCCAUACAGCAUGUUACUUUACUGAACGCUGUAGGCAACUGUAACACAAUGGUAAGUAUUUGUGUAUCUAAACAUGUCUAAACAUAGAAUAGAUACAGUAAAAUACAAUAAAAAAUAAAAAUUGGUCCACUGGUAUAGGGCACUUAUUAUGAAUUAAGCUUGCAGGACUAGAAGUUGCUCUGGGUGAGUCCGUGAGUGAGUUGAGUUUUGAGUAAAUAUGAAGGGCUAGGAAAUUGCUGUACACUACUGUAGGUAGGCUUUAUAAACAAUGUACAUGUAGGCUACACUAAAUUUAUUUAAAAAAUUCUUCAAUAAUAAAUUAACAUUGGCUUACUGUAAAGUGUUCAUGUCAUAAAUAUUUUAAUUUUUGUAAUAUUUUUAUUUUUUAAUAACACUUAGCUUAAAACACAAAUACAUUGUACAAAUGUAUAAAAAUAUGUUCUGUUGGCCGGGCGCCAUGGCUCACACCUGUAAUCCCAGCACUUUGGGAGGCCGAGGCGGGCAGAUCACGAGGUCAGGAGAUCGAGACCAUGGUGGCUAACAUGGUGAAACCCCAUCUCUACUAAAAAUACAAAAAAUUUGCCGAGCAUGGUGGCAGGCACCUGUAGUCCCAGCCACUAGGGAGGCUGAGGCAGGAGAAUGGCGUGAACUCAGGAGCAUAGGUUGCAGUGAGCCGAGAUCUCACCACUGCACUCCAUCCUGGAUGACAGAGCGAGACUCCAUCUCUCUCUCUCUCUCUCUAUUCAUCUAUCUAUUUAUCUAUCUAUCUAUCUAUCUAUCUAUCUAUCUAUAUCUAUAUCUAUAUGUCUGUGUGUGUUCUGUCUUUAUAUUGUUAUUCUACAAGCAUUUUUCAAU